AAGUCGAGGGGUAUUAGGAGCUUGCUCCUAAGAGACCGGCGCACGGGUGCGUAACGCGUAUGCAAUCUACCUUAUACAGGGGAAUAGCCCAGAGAAAUUUGGAUUAAUGCCCCAUGGUAUUAUAGAGUGGCAUCACUUUAUAAUUAAAGUUCCAACGGUAUAAGAUGAGCAUGCGUCCCAUUAGUUAGUUGGUAAGGUAACGGCUUACCAAGACAAUGAUGGGUAGGGGUCCUGAGAGGGAGAUCCCCCACACUGGUACUGAGACACGGACCAGACUCC
rnacentral:rRNA from 2 species